UGCCCUAGUACGGCGAGUGAAGCGGCAACAGCUCAAAUUUGAAAUCUGGCUCUCGGGCCCGAGUUGUAAUUUGUAGAGGAUACUUUUGAUGCGGUGCCUUCCGAGUUCCCUGGAACGGGACGCCAUAGAGGGUGAGAGCCCCGUCUGGUUGGAUGCCAAAUCUCUGUAAAGUUCCUUCAACGAGUCGAGUAGUUUGGGAAUGCUGCUCUAAAUGGGAGGUAUAUGUCUUCUAAAGCUAAAUACCGGCCAGAGACCGAUAGCGCACAAGUAGAGUGAUCGAAAGAUGAAAAGCACUUUGAAAAGAGAGUUAAAAAGUACGUGAAAUUGUUGAAAGGGAAGCGUUUAUGACCAGACUUGGGCUUGGUUAAUCAUCUGGGGUUCUCCCCAGUGCACUUUUCCAGUCCAGGCCAGCAUCAGUUUUCCCCGGGGGAUAAAGGCGGCGGGAAUGUGGCUCUCUUCGGGGAGUGUUAUAGCCCACCGUGUAAUACCCUGGGGGGGACUGAGGUUCGCGCAUCUGCAAGGAUGCUGGCGUAAUGGUCAUCAACGACCCGUCUUGAAACACGGACCAAGGAGUCGUCUUCGUAUGCGAGUGUUCGGGUGUCAAACCCCUACGCGUAAUGAAAGUGAACGCAGGUGAGAGCUUCGGCGCAUCAUCGACCGAUCCUGAUGUUCUCGGAUGGAUUUGAGUAAGAGCAUACGGGGCCGGACCCGAAAGAAGGUGAACUAUGCCUGUAUAGGGUGAAGCCAGAGGAAACUCUGGUGGAGGCUCGCAGCGGUUCUGACGUGCAAAUCGAUCGUCAAAUAUGGGCAUG
rnacentral:rRNA from 1 species